rnacentral:lncRNA from 1 species
GGUUCAAUCCUCAGUACCAAAGAAAAAAUAAAAGUGGUCUCUUUUGACUGAGUUAUUGUUUUGAAAAUGUUAUAUAGAUCUUCAAUAGGUCAAUAACCAUGGGUAAAUGGUUUUUAUAAAUUUCUCAAUUUGGGGACAAGAUUUUUUUUGUGGUCUAAAUUGUGGACUUAAGAUUAUUUUCUUUGUGUAUAUAUAUAUAUAUAUAUAUAUAUAUAUAUAUAUAUAUAUACAUACACAC